rnacentral:rRNA from 1 species
CAGCCGCGGUAAUACGAAGGGGGCUAGCGUUGUUCGGAAUCACUGGGCGUAAAGCGCGUGUAGGUGGGUAUGCAAGCCAGGGGUGAAAGCCCAGAGCUCAACUCUGGAAUUGCCUUUGGAACUGCAUAUCUAGAGUCUUGUAGGGGGUAGUGGAAUUCCUAGUGUAGAGGUGAAAUUCGUAGAUACUAGGAGGAACACCGGUGGCGAAGGCGGCUACCUGGACGAGAACUGACACUGAGACGCGAAAGCGUGGGGAUCAAACAGGAUUAGAUACCCUGGUAGUCCACGCUGUAAACGAUGCACACUAGGUGUUGGGCCUUUAGGCUCAGUGCCGUCGCUAACGCAUUAAGUGUGCCGCCUGGGAAGUACGGUCGCAAGAUUAAAACUCAAAGGAAUUGACGGGGACCCGCACAAGCGGUGGAGCAUGUGGUUUAAUUCGAGGCAACGCGAAGAACCUUACCAGGACUUGACAUGCUGGUCGCGGAUCGUAGAGAUACUUUCCUUCAGUUAGGCUGGACCAUGCACAGGUGCUGCACGGCUGUCGUCAGCUCGUGUCGUGAGAUGUUGGGUUAAGUCCCGCAACGAGCGCAACCCUCGCCCUUAGUUGCUAACAUUCAGUUGAGAACUCUAAGGGAACUGCCGGCGUUAAGCCGGAGGAAGGUGGGGACGACGUCAAGUCAUCAUGGCCCUUACGUCCUGGGCUACACACGUGCUACAAUGGCAGUGACAAUGGGCCAAUCCAUAAAAGCUGUCUCAGUUCGGAUUGUCCUCUGCAACUCGAGGGCAUGAAGUCGGAAUCGCUAGUAAUCGCAGAUCAGCAUGCUGCGGUGAAUACGUUCCCGGGUCUUGU